GGACAUGGUGAGGAUUGCCAGAUUGAAAGCUCUUGCAUGAUCCCAUGAAGGGUGGUGCAUGGCCGCUUCUGGUUGGUGGAGUGAUUUGUCUGCUUAAUUGCGCUAACGAACGAGAUCUCAACCAGCAUCUACAUGCCAGUUCCGUUUAAGGUUUUCGGUGGUCCAUCUGGGGGUCGGGCAACUGGUUCUCAGGUGGUUCUGCUGGCCGAGGAAGCUGGAGACUGUUUACAUACUGGGAUUAUGCAUAGUUCCAAUUGCAUUGAAACGUGAGCCAAAAGCAGGUCUGUGAUGCUCCUAUAUGUCCUGGGCUGCACGCGCACUACACUGACGCAGACAACGAGCUUCUGUCUUCGUGACAGCCUGUGCCGAAGGGCAUGGGGAAUCUUCUGAGGCUGCGUCGUGAUGGGGAUAGAUGCUUGAAUUAUUCUCCUUGAACGAGGAAUGCCUUGUAGGCGCGUUUCAUCAGAACG
rnacentral:rRNA from 1 species